CCUGUGACAAAUGUUCAACGGCCGCGGUAUUUUGACCGUGCAAAGGUAGCGUAAUCACUUGUCUUUUAAAUGAAGACCUGUAUGAAUGGCAUAACGAGGGCUUAACUGUCUCCUUUUUCAGGUCAAUGAAAUUGAUCUCUCCGUGCAGAAGCGGGGAUAAUAACAUAAGACGAGAAGACCCUAUGGAGCUUUAGACACCAAAGCAGAUCUUGUUAAAAACCCCACAACAAAGGGAUAAACCAAAAGAAGCCUGCCCUAUUGUCUUUGGUUGGGGCGACCGUGGGGAAAUAAAUAACCCCCAUAUGGACUGAGAAUACUAUUCUUAAAAACAAGAGCCACAGCUCUAGUUAGCAGAAAUU
rnacentral:rRNA from 1 species